rnacentral:tRNA from 1 species
GCCUGGGUGGCUCAGUCAGUUAAGCGUCUGACUUCAGCUCAGGUCAUGGUCUCACGGUUCGUGGGUUCGAGCCCCACAACGGGUU